rnacentral:rRNA from 1 species
GAAACAGGUUAAUAUUCCUGUACUCGGUGUUACUGCGAAGGGGGGACGGAGAAGGCUAUGUUGGCCGGGCGACGGUUGUCCCGGUUUAAGCAUGUAGGCGGACGUUCCAGGUAAAUCCGGAACGUUACUAACGCUGAGGUGUGAUGACGAGGCACUACGGUGCUGAAGUGACAAAUGCCCUGCUUCCAGGAAAAGCCUCUAAGCAUCAGGUAACAUCAAAUCGUACCCCA